rnacentral:tRNA from 1 species
AGGUGGUUAGUCCAAAAAAAGACCUUUGAUUUCGGCUCAAAAGAUCGCGGUGCAAGUCCGCGACCACCUU